rnacentral:tRNA from 1 species
GGAAAGGUAGCUCAGUUGGUAGAGCGAUGGACUGAAAAUCCAUGCCGUCGGCGGUUCGAUUCCGCCCCUUUCCA